GAAGCAGAAGUUUUAACCAUCUUCCCAUGGCAUCUGACUUUUUUGAAGAGGAGGACUUUUCAACCACUUGAUGGAAGGGAAAUAAGAAGUUUGUUUCAAGGCUCUUAUGUUGUUCAUCAGUGCUGUUAACAAACGUGGGGCUUGAGGAUACAUUUGCUGCUUCUCUGCAUUUUUGCUGAAGGAGGGACCUUGCUGUCUCCCAGCUGCUGUGGACAUUAGGUUUCAUGGAUGUCUCUUGGGAAGAGGACAGCUCUGCAGAGCCUAAGUUUCAAAAGUAAUU